CUGUAGCAAGGUUAACCGUAUAGGGGAGCCGAAGGGAAACCGAGUCUUAAUUGGGCGUUAAGUUGCAGGGUAUAGACCCGAAACCCGGUGAUCUAGCCAUGGGCAGGUUGAAGGUUGGGUAACACUAACUGGAGGACCGAACCGACUAAUGUUGAAAAAUUAGCGGAUGACCUGUGGCUGGGGGUGAAAGGCCAAUCAAACCGGGAGAUAGCUGGUUCUCCCCGAAAGCUAUUUAGGUAGCGCCUCGUGAAUUCAUCUCCGGGGGUAGAGCACUGUUUCGGCUAGGGGGCCAUCCCGGCUUACCAACCCGAUGCAAACUGCGAAUACCGGAGAAUGUUAUCACGGGAGACACACGGCGGGUGCUAACGUCCGUCGUGAAGAGGGAAACAACCCAGACCGCCAGCUAAGGUCCCAAAGUCAUGGUUAAGUGGGAAACGAUGUGGGAAGGCCCAGACAGCCAGGAUGUUGGCUUAGAAGCAGCCAUCAUUUAAAGAAAGCGUAAUAGCUCACUGGUCGAGUCGGCCUGCGCGGAAGAUGUAACGGGGCUAAACCAUGCACCGAAGCUGCGGCAGCGAACGUAUCACUUAAAGCGAUUCAGCGGGUUACGAUUGACGGAGCGAAGCGACGUCAAAGCGUAUACAAAGUCGAGUCGGUUUAAGGAUACGUUCGUUGGGUAGGGGAGCGUUCUGUAAGCCUGUGAAGGUGUGUCGUGAGGCAUGCUGGAGGUAUCAGAAGUGCGAAUGCUGACAUAAGUAACGAUAAAGCGGGUGAAAAGCCCGCUCGCCGGAAGACCAAGGGUUCCUGUCCAACGUUAAUCGGGGCAGGGUGAGUCGACCCCUAAGGCGAGGCCGAAAGGCGUAGUCGAUGGGAAACGGGUUAAUAUUCCCGUACUUGGUGUUACUGCGAAGGGGGGACGGAGAAGGCUAUGUUGGCCGGGCGACGGUUGUCCCGGUUUAAGCGUGUAGGUGUGUGUUCCAGGUAAAUCCGGUU
rnacentral:rRNA from 1 species